rnacentral:rRNA from 1 species
UACAGAGGUGGCAAGCGUUGUUCGGAAUUACUGGGCGUAAAGGGCGCGUAGGCGGCCUACUAAGUCAGACGUGAAAUCCCCCGGCUUAACCUGGGAACUGCGUCUGAUACUGGAAGGCUUGAGGAUGGGAGAGGGAUGUAGAAUUCCAGGUGUAGCGGUGAAAUGCGUAGAUAUCUGGAGGAAUACCGGUGGCGAAGGCGGGUCUCUGGGCCGAAACUGACGCUGAGGAGCGAAAGCGUGGGGAGCAAACAGG